UAGGGAAUCUUCCGCAAUGGACGAAAGUCUGACGGAGCAACGCCGCGUGAGCGAUGAAGGCCUUCGGGUCGUAAAGCUCUGUUGUUAGGGAAGAACAAGUAUCGGAGUAACUGCCGGUACCUUGACGGUACCUAACCAGAAAGCCACGGCUAACUACGUGCCAGCAGCCGCGGUAAUACGUAGGUGGCAAGCGUUGUCCGGAAUUAUUGGGCGUAAAGCGCGCGCAGGCGGUCCUUUAAGUCUGAUGUGAAAGCCCACGGCUCAACCGUGGAGGGUCAUUGGAAACUGGGGGACUUGAGUGCAGAAGAGGAAAGNGGAAUUCCACGUGUAGCGGUGAAAUGCGUAGAGAUGUGGAGGAACACCAGUGGCGAAGGCGGCUUUCUGGUCUGUAACUGACGCUGAGGCGCGAAAGCGUGGGGAGCAAACAGGAUUAGAUACCCUGGUAGUCCACGCCGUAAACGAUGAGUGCUAAGUGUUAGAGGGUUUCCGCCCUUUAGUGCUGCAGCUAACGCAUUAAGCACUCCGCCUG
rnacentral:rRNA from 1 species